rnacentral:tRNA from 1 species
GGGCUUAUAGGUAAAUGGUAUACCGCGCCCUUCGCAUGGGCGAGUUCUGGGUUCGAUUCCCAGUAAGUCCA